rnacentral:rRNA from 1 species
CAGGCCUAACACAUGCAAGUCGAACGCACCGCAAGGUGAGUGGCAGACGGGUGAGUAACACGUGGGAAUCUACCCGACCCUUCGGAACAACUCUGGGAAACUGGAGCUAAUACCGGAUACGCCCUUCGGGGGAAAGAUUUAUCGGGGUGGGAUGAGCCCGCGUCGGAUUAGCUAGUUGGUGGGGUAAAGGCCUACCAAGGCGACGAUCCGUAGCUGGUCUGAGAGGAUGAUCAGCCACACUGGGACUGAGACACGGCCCAGACUCCUACGGGAGGCAACAGUGGGGAAUAUUGGACAAUGGGCGCAAGCCUGAUCCAGCCAUGCCGCGUGAGUGAUGAAGGCCCUAGGGUUGUAAAGCUCUUUCACCGGUGAAGAUAAUGAC